AGAACGAAGGGGAAGGAAGGUAAUAAAAGAGCUGUAGCUCGUGGUCUUUCCUUUUUCUUGUUUGUCAUUCCUUUUUCCUUAUCUUCAUCUCUGUUUUCAUUCUUGGAAGCACCG
rnacentral:ribozyme from 1 species